rnacentral:rRNA from 1 species
GGACCCGCACAAGUAGUGGAGCAUGUGGUUUAAUUCGAUGAUACGCGAGGAACCUUACCAGGGCUUAAAUGUAGUCUGACAGGGGUGGAAACACCCCCUCCUUCGGGCAGAUUACAAGGUGCUGCAUGGUUGUCGUCAGCUCGUGCCGUGAGGUGUCAGGUUAAGUCCUAUAACGAGCGCAACCCCUGCCGUUAGUUGCCAGCAUGUAAUGAUGGGAACUCUAACGGGACUGCCGGUGCAAACCGCGAGGAAGGUGGGGAUGACGUCAAAUCAUCACGGCCCUUACGUCCUGGCUACACACGUGCUACAAUGGCCGGUACAGAGGGCAGCCACACCGCAAGGUGGAGCG